ACUAGAAUAACUUAGUUGGUUAGAGCGUUUGGUUGUUAACCAAAAAGUUGGAGGUUCAAGCCCUCCUUCUAGUG